rfam:Trichoderma atroviride IMI 206040 TRIATcontig_24, whole genome shotgun sequence.
GGCACUUUGGCCGAGUGGUCUAAGGCGCCGUGUUCAGGUCCUGUUCGAGUCUAGCAUUCGAUCAAAUCUAUUCGCGGUCUAGAAAUAGGCGAGGGUUCGAAUCCCUCAGGUGUCA